ensembl:lncRNA
CUUGACUCCUUUUUGCCCCUGUCUGAGUUCUUCUGGAGACCCCAGGGUGGCAGAUUCACAUGGGGGCUUGUUGUACAAAGUGCCUGAGAUUUGUCAAGGGCGCCUGACCCUAAAUACCCAACCCCAAUGGAUGGUCUAGUGAGAAAACUUUGUGACGCAGCCUUUGUUUUACAAACUGUGGUCACCUCCUCAUAGGUCCUUCGAUGGACCGGUCCACUGAGCCUCCUGCAGGUGCCAGGCACCGUGUUAAGUCUGGGGAGACGGAGAUGAGGGAGAUGGUGACCUUGUGUCCUGGGAGCUCACAGACUAGCAGAAGGUCAGGGGAUAAAGCGGGCCUGUGCACCCAGCCUUGGGAAGGUCCACUGGGAACCACGGGCGGGACCUUCCUGGGGUGGGUGGUGGCAGCAAAGAUUUAAAAACUUUUUUGGCUAUUCUGGGUCUUACUUGCUCUAGUUGCAGAGAGCGGGGGCUAACUCUUAGUUGCGGUGCACCGGCUUCUCAUCGCGGCGGCUUCCCUCGUUGUGGAGCUCAGGCUCUAGGCGCGUGGGCUUCAGUAGUUGGGGCACACGGGCUAAGCGGUUGCGGUUCCAGCUCUAGAGCCCAGGCUCAGGGGUCAUGGCUCAUGGUCUGGUUGCUCUGCAGCAUUUAGGAUUGUCUCGGACCAGGGAUCGAACCUGUGUUCCCUGCAUUGGCAGGCAGAUUCUUAUCCACUGCUACUGGGGAGGUCUGAGAGGACUUUUUCGAAUUGGGUUUUGAAGGGUGCCUAAGAGUUUGCCAGGACAGCCAUGCAAUUAGCAGAUUGCUAAAAGGCGAGGAUCAGCAGUGGUGUUCAGUCCCAGAGACUGUCUGUGUUAGUGUGUGCGGCGACACCCUGGAAACAGCUGGGAAAGUCAGUAACUGUUUGACUUCCUGUAUUUACUUACUGCCCAGGGCUCAAGGAGAGUGAGAAGGUAGUUUUACAAAGAUGCUGGAAGAAUAAACUCCACGAGGGCAUACACAUUUUUUUCCAGGUAGAUAAAGAGAGACCUUAUUAAUAAUGGUUUCUGCUGGCUCCGUUUGACCUUGCUCUGAGGUCUCAGAAAUCGGUCCUCUUUUUCUGUUAUUUGGAGACAGGGGCCCCUGCCUAGGCGAUGGGCUCUGUUUUGCAGACUGUGUUCUUGUCUGUGGAUCAGCAGUCACGUAACACUCAUUUACCUCAGGACUUGUACAGAGUGGGGUGGUAUUGAUGUGUGAGCCAUUUGGCAAAAUAUCCUUGCUUAUAAUUGGCAAGAGGACCGGGCUGAAGACGUUCUGUCCGAAGGCCGACUCCACGGUCCAGAUGAGGUCCUGGGCUGCCCCCCACACGUUGAGGGAGAGAUGAGGUGGGGUACAGAGAGAAAGAAGGUGGGAGUGACAGACAGACACGGACAGACCUGCAGAGAGAAGGAGGUGAGGAGACCAAGAGAGAAGGGAGGGGAGAGACGAAGAGAGACACACAGACACGGAAUGAGAGCCGGAAAGAGACACGCAGAGACACGAUGACAGAGAUGGAGAGGCAGGGAGAGAGACAUGCACAGAUGGAGACACUCAGAGGCAGGGUGGGGAGAGGGGCAGUGGAUACCCUACCCCGGACCCUGGGGUACGUCCCGUGAACGAGGAUGUACUCGGUACACCAGCUCUGCCCACGUGGCCACCGGCUUUCCUGGUGACUCAGACAGUAAAGCAUCUGUCUGCAGUGCAGGAGAUCCGGCUUCGAUCCCUGGGUCGGGAAGAUCCCCUGGAGCAGGAAAUGGCAACUCAGUCCAGUACCGUUGCCUGGAAAAUCCCAUGGACGGAGGAGCCUGGUGGGCUAUGGUGCAUGGGUCGCAAAGAGUUGGACAUGACUGAGCGACUUCACUUUCUUUAUCUAUCAAUUGACACCCAGCAAGGUUAGGUAACCUGCUUAAGGACACAUAGCUCCCAAGUCCAGGAUGGAGACUAUCUUCUAGCCCCAGGGUCUAGGGGGUGGCUUUGAGUUAGGCCUCAAAGGACAGGUUGGGGGGAGAAGCUCCAGGUGGGACAGAUGAUCCAGACACUGCAGGGGUGGAGGCACCUGCUGUAUGCUGGACCCCUGGGUGUGGGCCUCACACACACUGUCUCCUUCACCUGCAGCCACUCAGAAAGGCUCAGUAACUGGAUGGGAUGGGGAUCCAGUCUGUCUGGCCCCGCAGCAAGCCCAUGACCUGUGGCCACACCACCCUGGGGCUUGGCCAGUGGGGAAAGAGCACCCGAGUUAUCUCCCCAGUGUUGGCAGCUCUAAGCGAGCGUCCAAUGUACUGAGAAGCUCUCACCUU